rnacentral:lncRNA from 1 species
GUUACGUACGAGGAAGGAUUUGCACCCUCGUAACGCCCAAAAUUAGUACAUAGUUGAUUAAUUAAUGUCUUAAUGCCGAAAGUUGAAAACUCGAAAAGAAUACGAUCCUUUUUAUUGAUGCUAACUUUUCAAACGAAACGCUUGAAUAAAUUGAAACGAACAUGAAAGGUCCUCUUGUCUUGAGAUAAUAAAAUGUCACAUCUCGUAAGUUAGGACAC